GUGGGGAAUCUUGCGCAAUGGGCGAAAGCCUGACGCAGCCAUGCCGCGUGAAUGAUGAAGGUCUUAGGAUUGUAAAAUUCUUUCACCGGGGACGAUAAUGACGGUACCCGGAGAAGAAGCUCCGGCUAACUUCGUGCCAGCAGCCGCGGUAAUACGAAGGGGGCUAGCGUUGCUCGGAAUUACUGGGCGUAAAGGGCGCGUAGGCGGACAGCUUAGUCAGAGGUGAAAGCCCAGGGCUCAACCUUGGAAUUGCCUUUGAUACUGGCUGUCUUGAGUUUGGGAGAGGUGAGUGGAACUCCGAGUGUAGAGGUGAAAUUCGUAGAUAUUCGGAAGAACACCAGUGGCGAAGGCGGCCAUCUGGACCAGCACUGACACUGAGGCACGAAAGCGUGGGGAGCAAACAGGAUUAGAAACCCUAGUAGUCC
rnacentral:rRNA from 1 species